GUGCUAAGACACCCUCGGCUAAAAUCCAAAGUCAAUCUAAUAGGUUAAUAAACAGAAAAGUAAAGAUUUAUAGCUAUCGUCGUUAUAAGUAAAAGGGGGAAAGAAUUUAAGAUUCUUUAAGCUUUGGUGUAUACUCUAUUGCAUACCUCAGAAAUAUGUAAAAAUACUAAAUGUAUGUUUUGAAAUAUUUUCCAAUGUAAUAAUGUUAAACUGCAUUUGAUGUAGCUCCACAGAGCACAUUUAUUUAUUCCUUUCCCUUCUCUUUUUUCUGUAUCCCCAUUAACUUUUUUUGUAUUUACUGUAUUUAUGUGGAUUAUUAAAAAAAAAAGAA